GAAGGAGGCGGAGCCCUGAUACUGAAUGGAGUAUCCUAUCUUUUCUGUCUGACACCAUUGUUGAGGGCUGAGCAUGAUAUAUGUUUUCUAAAGGGAAUUAAACUGGGUUGCUAAACCCCUGGAAAGCCUCACCCCUCUUCUGGGAGAAAAAAAACAAAAAGAUGCAAUAUCUUUUCUCCUAUCUCCCUUAAAGGUAAAAAUUGUGACAGUGGAGAAGAAAGUAAAUGAGAUCCUGAACCGAUUAGAAAAGACCAAAGUCGAGCGGUUCCCAGACCUAGCAGCAGAGAAAGAAUGCAGAGAUCGUGAAGAGAGGAAUGAGAAAAAAGCCCAAAUUCAGGAAAUGAAAAAGAGAGAAAAAGAAGAAAUGAAGAAGAAGAGGGAAAUGGAUGAACUUAGGAGCUAUUCAUCACUAAUGAAAGUUGAAAAUAUGUCUUCAAAUCAGGAUGGCAAUGAUUCAGAUGAAUUCAUGUAAAAGGAGAAAAGGAGAAAAGGACCUUUGAAAGAUGUGAAUGUAGAGACAAUUGCAGACCUUUUGGUUUCAUCUGUGUUCUGAAGUAUAAAAUACAACCAAAAUUCUACCUUCAUCCUACCCAGAAAUUAUUGAUUUUCA
rnacentral:sRNA from 1 species